AUUGAACGCUGGCGGAAUGCUUUACACAUGCAAGUCGAACGGCAGCACGGGGCAACCUGGUGGCGAGUGGCGAACGGGUGAGUAAUACAUCGGAACGUGCCCAAUCGUGGGGGAUAACGUAGCGAAGUUACGCUAAUACCGCAUACGAUCUACGGAUGAAAGCGGGGGAUCGCAAGACCUCGCGCGAGUGGAGCGGCCGAUGUCAGAUUAGGUAGUUGGUGGGUAAAGGCUCACCAAGCCAACGAUCUGUAGCUGGUCUGAGAGGACGACCAGCCACACUGGAACUGAGACACGGUCCAGACUCCUACGGGAGGCAGCAGUGGGGAAUUUUGGACAAUGGGCGCAAGCCUGAUCCAGCCAUUCCGCGUGCAGGAUGAAGGCCCUUCGGGUUG
rnacentral:rRNA from 1 species